AUACGGAGGGAGCGAGCGUUAAUCGGAAUUACUGGGCGUAAAGCGCGCGUAGGCGGUUUGGUCAGUCGGAUGUGAAAGCCCUGGGCUCAACCUGGGAAUUGCAUUCGAUACUGCCUGACUAGAGUAUGGUAGAGGGAAGUGGAAUUUCCGGUGUAGCGGUGAAAUGCGUAGAUAUCGGAAGGAACACCAGUGGCGAAGGCGACUUCCUGGGCCAAUACUGACGCUGAGGUGCGAAAGCGUGGGGAGCAAACAGGAUUAGAUACCCCGGUAGUCC
rnacentral:rRNA from 1 species